CAAAGCCAGGAGUGUGUCCUAGAAACAAUGGUAAAAAAACAAUGGUAGGAGUGUGUGCCGAGAUGUGUUCCUAUGACUGUGACUGUCCGGAUGAUCAGAAAUGCUGCAGCAAUGGAUGUGGACACCAGUGUACGGCUGUAUCUAAAGAUAAGCCAGGAGUGUGUCCAAUGAGUUUCCUUGGAAAAGGAUUGUGUAAAGAGUUGUGUAUCAAUGACGGUGACUGUCCGAAUGAAGAGAAAUGCUGCAGCACUAAAUGUGGGCAUGAAUGUACAUCUCUACCUAAAGUGAGGCCUGGUCCAUGUCUCAAACCAAGUGUAUGAUGAUCCGUAACCUGCCAGACAGAAGUGUUGCCCAACCACCUGUGCAUGCAGCAGACCAUGCCAGUUUAACCAUUGGGG